GAUGAAGAACGCAGCGAAAUGCGAUAAGUAAUGUGAAUUGCAGAAUUCAGUGAACCAUCGAAUCUUUGAACGCACAUUGCGCCCGGCAGUAAUCUGCCGGGCAUGCCUGUCCGAGCGUCAUUUCUGCCCUCGAGCGAGUCCAGCAUCUAGGUGCUGGGCCCGCCCGGCGUUGGGGCACUACGGGAAGCCCUGUGCUGUCCCCCGUAGGCCCCGAAAUGAAGUGGCGGUCCUGCCGCGGCGCCCCCUGCGUAGUAUAACAGCUCGCUUCGGGACCCGGUGGAGGCCUGCCGUCAAACCUUACUCUCUACGUUUGACCUCGGAGCAGGUAGGGUUACCCGCUGAACUUAAGCAUAUCAAUAAGCGGAGGA
rnacentral:misc_RNA from 1 species